rnacentral:rRNA from 1 species
CCUACGGGAGGCUGCAGUGGGGAAUAUUGGGCAAUGGACGCAAGUCUGACCCAGCAACGCCGCGUGAAGGAAGAAGGCUUUCGGGUUGUAAACUUCUUUUAAGGGGGAAGAGCAGAAGAAGGUACGCCUUGAAUAAGACACGGCUAACUACGGGCCAGCAUCCGCGGUAAUACGUAGGGGGCAAGCGUUGUCCGGAUGUACUGGGUGAAAAGGGCGUGCAGCCGGCGAGACAAGUCAGAUGUGAAAUCCACGGGCUCAACCCGUGAACUGCAUUUGAAACUGUUUCCCUUGAGUGUCGGAGAGGUAAUCGGACUUCCUUGUGUAGCGGUGAUAUUCGUAGAUAUAAGGAAGAACACCGAUUGCGAAGGCAGCUUACCAAGCUACUUCUGACGUUGAGGCACGAAAGCGUGGGGAGCACACAGGAUUAGAUACCCCUGUAGUC